rnacentral:rRNA from 2 species
GACGAACGCUGGCGGCGUGCCUAAUACAUGCAAGUCGAGCGGAUCUUCAUUAGCUUGCUUUUGAAGAUCAGCGGCGGACGGGUGAGUAACACGUGGGCAACCUGCCUGUAAGACUGGGAUAACUUCGGGAAACCGGAGCUAAUACCGGAUAAUCCUUUCCCUCACAUGAGGGAAAGCUGAAAGACGGUUUCGGCUGUCACUUACAGAUGGGCCCGCGGCGCAUUAGCUAGUUGGUGAGGUAACGGCUCACCAAGGCAACGAUGCGUAGCCGACCUGAGAGGGUGAUCGGCCACACUGGGACUGAGACACGGCCCAGACUCCUACGGGAGGCAGCAGUAGGGAAUCUUCCGCAAUGGACGAAAGUCUGACGGAGCAACGCCGCGUGAACGAUGAAGGCUUUCGGGUCGUAAAGUUCUGUUGUCAGGGAAGAACAAGUACCGGAGUAACUGCCGGUACCUUGACGGUACCUGACCAGAAAGCCACGGCUAACUACGUGCCAGCAGCCGCGGUAAUACGUAGGUGGCAAGCGUUGUCCGGAAUUAUUGGGCGUAAAGCGCGCGCAGGCGGUUCCUUAAGUCUGAUGUGAAAGCCCCCGGCUCAACCGGGGAGGGUCAUUGGAAACUGGGGAACUUGAGUGCAGAAGAGGAGAGCGGAAUUCCACGUGUAGCGGUGAAAUGCGUAGAGAUGUGGAGGAACACCAGUGGCGAAGGCGGCUCUCUGGUCUGUAACUGACGCUGAGGCGCGAAAGCGUGGGGAGCGAACAGGAUUAGAUACCCUGGUAGUCCACGCCGUAAACGAUGAGUGCUAAGUGUUAGAGGGUUUCCGCCCUUUAGUGCUGCAGCAAACGCAUUAAGCACUCCGCCUGGGGAGUACGGCCGCAAGGCUGAAACUCAAAGGAAUUGACGGGGGCCCGCACAAGCGGUGGAGCAUGUGGUUUAAUUCGAAGCAACGCGAAGAACCUUACCAGGUCUUGACAUCCUCUGACAACCCUAGAGAUAGGGCGUUCCCCUUCGGGGGACAGAGUGACAGGUGGUGCAUGGUUGUCGUCAGCUCGUGUCGUGAGAUGUUGGGUUAAGUCCCGCAACGAGCGCAACCCUUGAUCUU